rnacentral:lncRNA from 1 species
AUGGGAAAAACUACUUUGUUCGUCUUCAUGUUGGUUCUCGUUCUCUUUGCUUCCGUAUCUUAGGGUGAGAGGGGCACUUCCCUCUUAGGGGAGUUCCUUCUCUUACGCAUACCCAAUCAGGUUAUGCCACGUCAACUACCCUCUUAAACUACUCCUCUCUUAGGUGACUUGUUUUUUUAUUAAAAAAAAAAGGUAAUCAUUGAUUGGUUGAAAAUGAGGGUGGCCCCACCAUCUCCUCUCUUCUUCUUCGGUGAAACCUCCCCGAUCUCCCUCCCCGCACCGAUGGCGCCGGUGUUCCCGAGCGGUGAAUUGGGUCACCGCACCCACUUCCCAAGAGAGUACUGUGACAGAAGCGAAGAUGUGUGAAC